rnacentral:rRNA from 1 species
GAGUUUGAUCGUGGCUCAGAUUGAACGCUGGCGGCACGCCUUACACAUGCAAGUCGAACGGCAGCAUGAUCUAGCUUGCUAGAUUGAUGGCGAGUGGCGAACGGGUGAGUAAUACAUCGGGAACGUGCCCUGUAGUGGGGGAUAACUAGUCGAAAGAUUAGCUAAUACCGCAUACGACCUGAGGGUGAAAGUGGGGGACCGCAAGGCCUCAUGCUAUAGGAGCGGCCGAUGUCUGAUUAGCUAGUUGGUGGGGUAAAGGCCCGACCAAGGCGACGAUCAGUAGCUGGUCUGAGAGGACGAUCAGCCACACUGGGACUGAGACACGGCCCAGACUCCUACGGGAGGCAGCAGUGGGGAAUUUUGGACAAUGGGCGAAAGCCUGAUCCAGCAAUGCCGCGUGUGUGAAGAAGGCCUCGG